CGGGAGGGGAGUGAAAAGAAUCUGAAACCGUAUGCCUACAAAAAGUCAGAGGGCGUUAAAGCCUGAUGACGUGCCUAUUGAAGAAUGAGCCGGCGAGUUAUGAACACAUGCGAGGUUAAGGAGAAGAUCCGGAGCCGAAGCGAAAGCGAGUCUUAACAGGGCGACAGUAUGUGUUUGUAGACCCGAAACCCGACGAUCUAGCCAUGAUCAGGAUGAAGUAAGGGUAAAACCUUAUGGAGGUCCGAACCGACGUUCGUUGAAACGCCCGCGGAUGAAUUGUGGCUCGUGGUGAAAUUCCAAUCGAGUCGGGUAAUAGCUGGUUCUCCCCGAAAUAGCUUUAGGGCUAGCCUUGGGACAUUGUUUAGUGGGGGUAAAGCACUGAAUAUGAGCGAGCCGCGCCAAGCGGUAUCAAUCAUAAUCAAACUCUGAAUCCCAUUAGAUGUACCCCAGGAGUCAGACUACGGGAGAUAAGUUCCGUGGUCAAGAGGGCAACAGCCCAGACCGCCGAUUAAGGUCCCUAAAUUCACGCUAAGUGUCAAAGGAUGUAGAGAUACUCAAACAGCUAGGAUGUUGGCUCAGAGGCAGCCAUCAUUUAAAGAAUGCGUAACAGCUCACUAGUCAAGUGUCUCCGCGCCGAAAAUUUACCGGGGCUAAGCGUGAUACCGAAAUCGCGGAUGAAUCCUAAAAAUUCGUGGUAGGGGAGCGUUCUGUUUGCAGUGAAGCCAUAUCGUGAGGAGUGGUGGAGCGUACAGAAGCGAGAAUGCCGGCGUAAGUAACGAUAAAGGGUGAGAAUCCCUUUCACCAAUUGACUAAGGUUUCCUGGGCAAGGUUCGUCCUCCCAGGGUUAGUCGGGACCUAAGGCGAGGCCGACAGGCGUAGUCGAUGGACAGCAGGUUGAUAUUCCUGCACCCGAGCACGCAGUGAUGCAAUGACGAAAACGGCUAUGCUCACCUCCGAUCGGAAGUGGAGGGCAGAGCGUAGGAGUCGAUUCCUUGUUAAGUACGGGAAUCAUUAAGACAAAGACGUGCGGUAUGAAAGUCGCGAGACGAGUAAGAAACAGCAGACGCCGAUUUCCAAGAAAAGUUGCUAACGUUAAACGUGUUCGGCCCGUACCGAGAACGGACACACGUGGUCAAGGAGAAUAUCCUGAGGUGAGCGAGAUAACUGUUGUUAAGGAACUCUGCAAAAUAACUUCGUAAGUUAGCAAGAAGAAGUGCUCCAGCGAUGGAGCCGCAGCGAAUCGGCCCAAGUAACUGUUUACCAAAAACACAGCUCUAUGCUAAGUCGCAAGACGAUGUAUAUGGGGUGACGCCUGCCCGGUGCCGGAAGGUUAAAAGGAGAGGUUAGGAGCAAUCCGAAGCUUUGAAUUGAAGCCCCGGUGAACGGCGGCCGUAACUAUAACGGUCCUAAGGUAGCGAAAUUCCUUGUCAGGUAAGUUCUGACGUGCACGAAUGGUUUAAUAAUUUGGGCGCUGUCUCGACAGCAGACUCGGUGAAAUCUUAAUACCGGUGAAGAUGCCGGUUACCCGCGACUAGACGGAAAGACCCCAUGGAGCUUUACUAUAACUUAAUAUUGAGUAAAUGCGAAUCUUGUACAGUAUAGGUGGGAGACUUUGAAGUCGGGGCGUCAGCUUCGAUGGAGUCGCCGUUGGGAUACCACUCUGGAUUUGCAUUUAUUCUAACUUCCUCCCUGGAUGGGCGGGAAGACAGUGUUAGGCGGGUAGUUUGGCUGGGGCGGCCGCCUCC
rnacentral:rRNA from 1 species